ensembl:lncRNA
GUGGACUGUAUGGAACCGCCUUUCGUAGAGGAAUGGGCUACUCUAAUAACAUUAGACCAACGAUUCUUAUGGAUUGCGUUACAAUUAUACCAAUAUUCACGGCAACAGUGACACAUGCUGCUUGUUUCCCGAGAGGACGAACCUCCACCCAAAGUAUAAACAUGUGUCCUGGCAUUUGAAAGCGACUGCAGAAAGCAGGACUUGCUACUAGAAGGUCUUUAAUAUCGUAAACCAGAAUGUGCUCAAGACACAGUGGCACUCACUCUGUAUAUUCGCAACGAAGAUAUCUGGGCCCUUGCCACAUGAAUAGACUCCUAGUAACGCUGCUGCGUUGUUUUUACGCAUGCGUGGCAAACGCACUUCCCUGUCAACCAUUUCUCAGCCCUCUCGACUGACCCGCCUUCAUUACGUAUGAAUGUUUCGCGGGAACAUUGAAGACGUGAAAUAACUUCAUCUGUUCAUGUGAGAAGGUUCUGGAUAUCACUCCAUCUGAGCCCGUAUUGAAGUAAAGUUUUCGUAUCCUGGUUGAACAAAUUUAACUAUGGGCAAACAAACAGUCUUUUUGGCUUUAAUUUCUUUCGUGUUGUUUCACACCGGAAAAUUUCAAACUCCGAAAUCUACUCAGCUAAUCGAAGUACCAGACGGUGAUAAUCUCACUUUUCAGUGUGAAAUCCCCCCGGGAACCAACUUGAAGGACUGCUCUCUGGUUCUGAAACGAGUCGAUGGAAACACAAGUUACACCACACGUGUCAUCUACACCCGUCGAAAUGGAAAGGAAGAUCUUGGUUCACAGCCGGAGCAAUACAGAAACCGGGUAAUCUUCAUCAGUGAAGACCUGAGGAGAGGAUUCAUGACUGUACAGAUCCGAUCAGUCCAGCAGUCUGAUAGCGGAAAGUUCAAAUGGUUUAUCCCAAAACCACACACCGCCUGUUUUUUUGAUGUUGUUGUGACAGAGAAGCAAAACCGUACCAAUGAGAAUGACACUAGCACAACACCAACGUUAACAGAGGAAAUGCCAGAUACAGAUCCUGCAACAGAGAACCGUCAUCAUCAUUAUUAUGCCCUCAUUCCCAUCUUUGCUGUUUUCAUAGCUACUGUUUUCCUGAUGCUCUUCAAGAACAGGAUUUGUAAGACAUGCCAAAGGAAAACUGAAAAAACAGACUCUGAGCUGGAAACCCAAGGUAACAAAGCAAAGGAAGGAGAUGAAGAGGAACAGCUCAAGAAACCAUCAGCAGGAGGAACUGAUGGACUGAAAGGAUAAUCUCAUCAUGGCCAGAGAAAAGAAGCUUUUUUUGAAUAUCCACCAUUUGGGCCAUUCAUCUGAUCCUUCGGUCAGUUGCUCAGGUGCAACUAAAUAUUUCCUGGAAACGUAGAAAAAAAGUAAGAUUGCAGUUAACAGAUUGUUUUAUGAAUUAUUUGGAAAAUCACUUAAUAGUAGGGCUGCCACGAUUAGUCGACUAGUCACGAUUACGUCGACUAUCAAAAUCAUCGACGACUAAUUUAAUAGUCGACGCCUCGUUUGAAGCUUUGUAAGAUCCCAAAAGACGCAGGAAUAAGUAGUAGGAUUUAAGAGUGUAAUAACGGCCUGAAACAGAAGAUGGCAGCACUGCAUGUACAAGGAUGCCAGCUGCCAUUAAAGAAGCAGUGUCCGGCAUCUUAGCUGUGUCCAAAUUCAGGAACCGCAUCCUCCUGUGCCCGCAUUUGUAGGAUGAUUACGUUACAGCCACACGGCAAAGACUGUCCAAAUUCGAAGACUCCAAAAAAUGCGGCCCAGAAAUGCGUCCUUCAUUUCCCCCUUCAGAAGGAUGUGUCGGGAUGGGUCAUGGCCCAACCUAUCCCAGAAUUCAUAGCGCGGCCCUGCUCAGUUUCCAACAAUGGCAGCAGCUAGUUAGUUUUAAUAUUACUCUUAUUAUUCUUUCUGGGUCACAAAAUAAACGUUUAACAUAUUUUCAGGUGAGAAUGUAGCUGUGUAAACUUCAAAUAUCUGCUCAGUUUAUCAAGACGCCACAUAUUUUCAAAAGCGCUCCGACGUUUUCGGAGACGUCUGUUACCCACCAGCUCGAUAGCUAGCCGGGGUUGAAGGCUCACUAGAGCCGUUGAGAACACCGGACUCCCAGCAAAUCAUUUUCAAACCCACCGCCAUCUUUCGCUACUCAGGUUAAACAUAUAUAAGUCACUUAGAUAACUUAAAAAUGUUAUUGUUUGGCUUUUUUCAGUAUUUUAUUUGUUCCUGAGUAAAUCGGUUUGGCUGAGAUUAAAGUUAUAGUUUUUACACAGCUGAAUAAACGUCAAGCAGACAACUGAUUAUCAGAAGUGUGAGAUGCUCGAGAAUAUACUCCGGUGUCCUGUUAUAUUUUAGACAGCAAAGAGCAGACGGCUGAGUUUAUUUAACUCCACCAAAACAAUCUGCAAAUUUCAUUAAAAUUUAAUAAACUAUCAUCUUGUCUUUAUUUUUAGUUAGCACAUAUCUUAAACACUUAAAGCUGUAAGCUAAUGAUAGUUAUAUAAGCGCAGAUGGAUGCUGGUGCAAUAAGAUGUACGUUUUACGUCCAAUGGAUGCAUGAUCUGAUUAGUCGACUAAUCGCAAAAAUAAUCGGUGACUAGUCGACUAUCAAAAUAAUCGUUUGUGGCAGCCCUACUUAAUAGCCCUUUGUAGCUGUCCAGGGCUGUGUUUUAAAAAAAAAAAAAAAAAAAGCAGGGAUUUAAAAGCCUUCUAAGCCCAUGAAAGUGUCCACGAUCCCAUUAACUAUUUUAAAAUCCUGGAAGAAUUGCAACCAGAUAAGCUAGAGCAAUAAUUUUUUGCAUAUUAAAACAGAGGAGUUGUACUUCCAUAUCAUGUAUUUAACUUGUCCCAGGUUGCAGUUUCCUUCCACUAAUGGCUUUGCAAAAAGUGCAAGAAACAACAAAAAAAUUAUUAUUAUCCAGGCAAACGUUUUGCCGAUGUGAUCAGCUGUUCACAACACUUCCUACGUUUGAAUAAACUUUAUCAUGUUGUCAGCAGGAGCUAUCACAUGUCGCCAUUACCUCAUUUUGUGGGAAAUGUAGUUUUUUUGUUUUGUUUUUUAGAAAGUUCACUCAGCCUAUUGAAAGUCAUCUUUGACUUUCUGUAUAGUUUCUGUGACACUUAGAACUUACAUUGCACAGUUAGAAAUAGUUUAUUUUUGAGGCACAUGCUGUUGCAGAUUGUGCACAAGAUCUAUUUUUGUUUUUGCAGCAGUUUAUAAAAAUUAGUGUUUUUUAGAAAUGAAAUUAUGAGGAUACAAAAUAAAUUUCCUGUGGUUCGGAACUAUUUGCAACUACUUUGCAUUUACAGUUUUCACACCUCUGACACUUGUUUUAUUAAAAAAAUGUGUUAAAAAAAAUAUAAUUUUUAAUUUAUUUGUUGUUUUUUGCACUUUUUAGCAAUUUAUGUCAUUACUAUGGAGUUAAUGCAUACAUAUUAUUAAAAUUUGCGAUAGAGUGAUUGUAAUAUAUGUAUUGUAUGUAUAGCAACUUGAAAUGCUCCAAAUAAUGACACUAUAGCAUAUAAAAAUGUAAAGACUUGUUCUAUGAUGGGUUAAAGGGUUAAGCAAAACUUAUCUUUCACUAAUUUUGUCAGUCUAGCUAGCAAAAAAACCCCUGAUGGCUCAUUUUGCAGUUGCAUUUUAAACCCCUGUCAUGUGUUUGCGUAUUAAAUUAUCAUACCAUAAUUUAUUUAUAUAGCACUUUAAAAACAACACAUGGCCGACCAAAGGCCAGUAAAUAAAAAUGAGUUUUUAAUCUGGAUUCAAAAGCCAGCACUGAUGUAGAUUGCCUAAUGUGAAGAGGAAGCUCGUUCCAAAGCUUUGGGGCCACAAUAGAGAACGCUCGGUCUCCUCUAAGUUUCAUCCGUGAUUUGGGGACUGAGAGCAACACCUGCUUAGCUGACUGGAGUGAAUGAGGGGGAGCAUAGGGCUUCAGCAAAUCAGACAAAUAUUCAGGUACUAGACCAUUUAAGGAUUUAAAAACCAGUAAAAGGAUUUAAAAGUUGAUCCUAAAUUUAAUUGGAAGCCAGUGUACGGAGGCCAGAACCGGAGUAAUAUGCUUAAAUUUUCUUUUGCCAGUUAAAAACCGUGCCGCAGCAUUCUGCACCAGUUCCAGGCAUGACAGAGUGCUCUGGCCAACCCCUAUUAACCCAAGUGUGAGGUUAUGAUCGUCUCAAAGAGUAUACUUAUACACUUAUACUGACAGUCAUUAAGCUUUCACAAGCUCUGAAUCAUGCUCCUGCCUACAUCUCUGAUCUUUUACAAUCGCACGCUCCCUCUCGCAGCCUGAGAUCCUCUAAUCAAAAGCUGUUGGUCGCCCUACAAACACAUUUUAAGACCAGAGGAGUUGUUUUAGAGCAGUGGCCCCCAGGUUGUGGAGUGCUUUGCCUCCAUCAUUACAUUGCCUUGAUUGAAUUUAUUCUUUUAAACAGCAGCUUAAGACUCUUUUAUUUAGAUUGGCUUUUAACUAGAAUUGUGCAGUUUGUUCGAUUGUGCUGUUUUAUGUAUAUCUGUUUUAUAUUAUUGUGAAGCACUUUGUGGUUCUUAUUCUGUUAAGAGUGCUAUAUAAAUAAAGUAUCUAUAAUUAAUUGUGUUGAAUGUUUGCUCAGUUGUGUUGAAAUGUUAUUUUGCUACAAUUGUGCUACACGUGUUUGAAAAACGUAAUUGUUUGUGUGUAUUAUGUAAGACCCUCCCCGUUUUACCUACCUUACCUUCAAGUCAGUCUGACUGGAUUUCAAAGUAAAAGCCCUUGGAAAUGUCUUUGGUGCUCCAAAAUGUCAUCAGGUUUGUUUACUUAUUGUAUUUCUUUUUUUAAUUCUGAAU